UACGCAAAGGCUUCGGAACCGCAAUUCAUUUCCUUUCCUCUGCUGCAAUGGACGGCUAGACUGCAGCAAAGGAACAACCGAAGCUUCACCAUUUCUUCUCUUCCAAAACUCAACCAAAUUCCUACCAAAACUUCCAUAGAUUCUCACCAAACUUCACAUUCAUUUAGCUUUUCACUUGGACAACAACAUAGGCUGAAAAAGGGAGGAGCUUUCACGGUUUCUUCAAGCUUCAAAGGACCGAAAAAUCUGUCCAAACCAGCCAUCAAAGUAGGCACGCACGAGGACCUCCAAGAGGACCCUACUGUGGAAGUUUGAACUCUCCCUCCAACCUACUAGCUUGCAUAACUUGGUUGAGUUCAGAGGUAAAAUGGAGCAACCCUCUUGAUGUGCUUUUGUUUUAGAGUUGCUAUUACUUUUGUUUAUGCCUUUGGCUUUGGACGAAAUGUAUUAUGUAUGCUGACGGGUGGUUUGAAAAAUGGAUAACUGUUAUUAAGUUUGAACACUUCCGCAAUUAUUGUAUCUAAGUUAUCGAUUUGUAUUGUGUGGUCCGGAUAUAAGUUGAAUGGAAUUGCUUGAGUCCUGACGAGAGUUAGGCAGGCGUCC